rnacentral:lncRNA from 1 species
AAACUCACUGCCAGUGGGAAGAAAGCUUCAGAAUGCAGAAAAGCUACCCAGCCUCCAUGCCAGAUGAAUCUGAGAAUCAGGAAAACUGGGGUCAAAAACCACUUAACGGGAGCCCAACUCCCAAGGAGCUCUUAGGAGACAAGGAGGAGUCAAGCCCUGGAUUCCAGACAUUAUCUGAUUCCUUCCAAGCACGAUCCCCAGACCCCAGAUGCCAGGCCACCCACAGAGCCCUGACGUCCUCCUGUGGACACCCUCCCAGGGAGAUGCCCAUAUUCCCCCAGGGAUAAAGUCGCUUGGAUACCACAGAUGCUGCGGCCACACGGUGAUGCUGGAGACUGGAUGGAACUAUAAAACAUCAAGUUGCCUUUGAGAAGCUCUAGGGUCUGCAGCCCCAGCACCUGCACCUAGGCCAACUGACUCUCUUCCCAAAGUCAUCCACACCUGGGGAUGAGCUUGCCCACAUCCUGCAGAGGAAAAGCCAACUUUUGUCAAGAAUCAGAAUGCACCAGCCUUGCCUUUGGAGCCACCUACAUCGACUUCCUGAACCAUGCCUUGCUGAGGGCUUGUUUCUGUGGAGCCAGCCUCUUCUCCCUGCCUUAGGGAAC